UACGGGGGGGGCAAGCGUUGUUCGGAAUUACUGGGCGUAAAGGCGCGUAGGCGGCCUGCUAAGUCGGACGUGAAAUCCCCCGGCUCAACCGGGGAACUGCGUCCGAUACUGGUGGGCUCGAAUCCGGGAGAGGGAUGUGGAAUUCCAGGUGUAGCGGUGAAAUGCGUAGAUAUCUGGAGGAACACCGGUGGCGAAGGCGGCAUCCUGGACCGGUAUUGACGCUGAGGCGCGAAAGCCAGGGGAGCAAACGGG
rnacentral:rRNA from 1 species